CCUACGGGUGGCAGCAGUGAGGAAUAUUGGUCAAUGGCCGGAAGGCUGAACCAGCCAAGCCGCGUGAAGGACGAAGGUGCCAAGCAUUGUAAACUUCUUUUGUCAAGGGACAAAAUCAGGCUCGAGAGCCUGACCGAGGGUACUUGAAGAACAAGCAUCGGCUAACUCCGUGCCAGCAGACGCGGUAAUACGGGGGGUGCGAGCGUUAUCCGGAUUUAUGGGGUUUAAAGGGUGCGUAGGCGGGCUGUUAAGUCAGCGGUAAAAGCCCGGGGCUCAACCCCGGCGAGCCGUUGAUACUGGCUGUCUUGAGAUGUCGAGAGGUAUGCAGAAUGCGCAGUGUAGCGGUGAAAUGCUUAGAUAUUGCGCAGAACUCCGAUUGCGAAGGCAGCAUACCGGCGGCGAUCUGACGCUGAGGCACGAAAGCGUGGGUAUCGAACAGGAUUAGAUACCCGAGUAGUC
rnacentral:rRNA from 1 species